CCAACGGCCCUCUUUAGGGCCACAAUUGGUAUGAAAAAAAAGGCG
rfam:Angiostrongylus costaricensis strain Costa Rica genome assembly, scaffold: ACOC_contig0002212